rnacentral:sRNA from 1 species
GCUGGGCGCAGUGGUGCACACCUGUAAUCCCAGCUGCUCGGGAGGCUGAGACAGGAGACUUAUGAGUCCAAAGUCAGCCUCAGCAAUGGUGAGGCACUAAGCAACUCAGUGAGAUCCUGUCUCUA